UACGUAGGUGGCGAGCGUUGUCCGGAUUUACUGGGCGUAAAGGGAGCGUAGGCGGACUUUUAAGUGAGAUGUGAAAUACUCGGGCUCAACUUGAGUGCUGCAUUUCGAACUGGAAGUCUAGAGUGCAGGAGAGGAGAAUGGAAUUCCUAGUGUAGCGGUGAAAUGCGUAGAGAUUAGGAAGAACACCAGUGGCGAAGGCGGUUCUCUGGACUGUAACUGACGCUGAGGCUCGAAAGCGUGGGGAGCAAACAGG
rnacentral:rRNA from 1 species